CUGACAUUCCAGGAGGGGACCUGCGGGACACUCCCAGGCCACGAGCAGGCCUCCCUGGCUGUCCUCCCGCUGGAACGGCCUCAGCGGCCCGUCGGGGGGGACCGGCGAUCGCGGCCAAGCCUAGGAAGCUCGCCUGCAAGGGGGGGACAGGCGGCCGGGCCUGUAAAGUUUAGGACACAAGUGGGGACGGCGCGCGCUCCUGGCUUACAGGAUCCCGCAGGAACUCUGGAUCGCCCUGCAAUAAAAACACGGAGCAUCCUGUUCGCGGCUGAGAAGGGCUUUGAGGGUCUCCCGGGGGGCGGCUUUGAAAGGCUGCCCAAACCGCGGCCCUGAUCGCCGAGGCGCGUGGCUGACGAGCGCGCAAAGCCUGCCCGGGCCCCGCGCUCUCCCGGACCCCACGCGGGGUGAAGAGUGUCCCUGCGGAGAGCCGCGCUGCUUCCCCCCUCCCCGGCCUGCCCCCUGCGGGCAGGUGUCCCACCAUCCGGGAGGACGUCCGUUUGCACAGCAGCCUCCAGCGGCUGGACACCCAGGGCACCGCGGGAUGCUCUUCGCCCCGGAAUUUUGGCAAAAGGGUGUGCACGUUGCCGUGAUAAUCAUGUUUUACAUUCAUCACGCUGCUUUCAUCCAGAUGGGUUUAAGCAUUCUACAAGCUUUAUUAAGUAAGUAGAACAAGUUAUAACAGUUGAACUUGUCUAUCAUGGAGCGUGGUUUCUGGGUGAAUCAUGGUUUUUUGUUUUUUGUUUUGGCCACACACAGCAAUGGGGUAUCGAUCAGGGACGGCGUGGAGCCGAGGGUUUCAGCCGAGCCUCCGGGAGGCCAGGCUUUGGUCUGAACUGGAAGAGCACAAAGGCCAGCGGUGUCCUGUGGUGCGCGGAGCGCGCGAGGGCCAAGGAAAACACCUGAUACUUCCAGGUAUUUGGGAGCCGGCUGCAGGACAAACAGCAAAACUGCAGACCCUCACCGCCCCCACCCCGCCGGCCUCCUGGGGACUUACUGCGGGGGAGUAACAUGCGGUUGGUUGCAUGUCCAGCUGAGAGCACCUAGAGGCGACGAUGGCCCUGCUGGCGCUAAAUGUUUGCUCUUCCUGGCUUGGGAGGUACAGAUGCUGCUGCCCGAGCCUUUACCACAGCUUGAUUGUGCCAGUAAGUACACAAUUGCUGAUUUUGCGAGUGUGACUGCAGACACCAGCCCUGGUCUCUGCUAAACCACUUUUCAAACUUCCUG
rnacentral:lncRNA from 1 species